UACGGGGGGGGGCAAGCGUUGUUCGGAAUUACUGGGCGUAAAGGGCUCGUAGGUGGCCAACUAAGUCAGACGUGAAAUCCCUCGGCUUAACCGGGGAACUGCGUCUGAUACUGGAUGGCUUGAGUUUGGGAGAGGGACGCGGAAUUCCAGGUGUAGCGGUGAAAUGCGUAGAUAUCUGGAGGAACACCGGUGGCGAAGGCGGCGCCCUGGACCAACACUGACACUGAUGAGCGAAAGCCAGGGGAGCAAACGGG
rnacentral:rRNA from 1 species